UACGAAGGGGGGCUAGCGUUGCUCGGAAUUACUGGGCGUAAAGGGCGCGUAGGCGGAUAGUUUAGUCAGAGGUAAAAGCCCAGGGCUCAACCUUGGAACUGCCUUUGAUACUGGCUAUCUUGAGUACGGGAGAGGUGUGUGGAACUCCGAGUGUAGAGGUGAAAUUCGUAGAUAUUCGCAAGAACACCAGUGGCGAAGGCGGCUCACGUGGCCCGGUACUGACGCUGAGGCACGAAAGCGUGGGGAGCAAACAG
rnacentral:rRNA from 1 species